rnacentral:rRNA from 1 species
GACGAACGCUGGCGGCGUGCUUAACACAUGCAAGUCGAACGGAAAGGCCCUGCUUUUGUGGUGUGCUCGAGUGGCGAAAGGGUGAGUAACACGAGAGUAACCUGCCCCUGACUUUGGGAUAACUUCAGGAAACUGGGGCCAAUACCGCAUAGCUUCUCCUGCUGCAUGGUGUGGGUAGGAUUGCUGCGGCGGUUGGGGAUGGACUCGCGGCUUAUCAGCUUGUUGGUGGGGUAGUGGCAUACCAAGGCGUCGACGGGUAGCCGGCCUGAGAGGGUGACCGGCCACAUUGGGACUGAGACACGGCCCAGACUCCUACGGGAGGCAGCAGUGGGGAAUAUUGCGCAAUGGGCGGAAGCCUGAUGCAGCGACGCCGCGUGCGGGAUGACGGCCUUCGGGUUGUAAACCGCUUUCGGCAGUGACGAAGCGCGAGUGACGGUACUGGCUGAAGAAGCACCGGCUAACUACGUG